GACGAACGCUGGCGGCGUGCUUAACACAUGCAAGUCGAACGGAAAGGCCCUGCUUUUGUGGGGUGCUCGAGUGGCGAACGGGUGAGUAACACGUGAGUAACCUGCCCUCGACUUUGGGAUAACUUCAGGAAACUGGGGCUAAUACCGGAUAGGAGCUCCUGCUGCAUGGUGGGGGUUGGAAAGUUUCGGCGGUUGGGGAUGGACUCGCGGCUUAUCAGCUUGUUGGUGGGGUAGUGGCUUACCAAGGCUUUGACGGGUAGCCGGCCUGAGAGGGUGACAGGCCACAUUGGGCCUGAGGUACGGCCCGGACUCCUACGGGCGGCAGCAGUGGGGAAUAGUGCACAAUGGGCGGAAGCCUGAUGCAGCACCGCCGCGUGCGGGAUGACGGCCUUCGGGUUGUAAACCGCUUUCGCCUGUGACGAAGCGUGAGUGACGGUAAUGGGUAAAGAAGCACCGGCUAACUACGUG
rnacentral:rRNA from 1 species